AUGCUGACCCAGCCCAGGGCAUGCUAUGGCAUGCCAAGCUAUGCCAUGCUGUGCCAGAUUGGUUGUGCCAUGCCACGCUGGACUGAACUGGGCACCGCUGCCCAGGCCACACGUUCUGUGCUGCUCUGUGGCCACCAGGACAGACCUGGGCUGAACCACACCAAGAUCCCAACCCCAUCCCUGCUGUGCCAGCCCCAGGCCGUGCCAUGCUGCGCUGUACCAUGCCAGGCAGACUGUGCCAGCCCCAAGCCAUCAUCUGCGUGCCAGAGCUGGGCUCUGUGUGCUGGGCUGUGCCAGGCCCGGGCUGUCCCAUGCUGUGCCAUGCCAUGCUGUGCCAUGACGUGGCAGACUCUGCAGUGCCAGCAUGUGCUGAGCCAGGCAGACUGUGCCAGCCUUUGCCAACCACAUGGUGUGCUAUACUGUGCCAUGCCAUGCCAGACUGUGCCACACUGGGCUGUACUGAGCCAGGCAGGCUGUGCCAGACCCAGAAUGUACCAUGCCCUGUCAGCCCCACACCCUGCCAUGCCAUGCCAGCCCCAUGCCAUGCCAGCUCUGUGCUAUAUGCUGUGCCAGCUUUAUGUUGUGCCAGCCCCCUGCCAUUGCAGCCCCAUGCCAUGUCAGCUUCAUGCCUUCCUCUGCAGUUGUGCUGUGCCAUUCCAGCCCUGGGCCAUGUGGGUCUCAUGUCAUGCUGUGCCAUCCCCAGGCCAUGCCAGCCCCCUGCUCUGCCGUGCCACUUUAUGCUGUGUUGCACUGGCCCCACACCGUGCCAGCCCCAUGCUGUGCCAGCCCCACGCUGUACCGUGCCAGCCCCAUGCUGUGUUGUGCAAACCCCAUGUUGUGCCAGUGCCAUUCCAUGCCAUGCUAUGCCAUGCCAUGCCAUGCCAUGCCAGUGCUGUGCUGUGCUGUGCCAGCCCCAUGCCAUGCUGUUCCAGCCCCGAGCUGUGCCGUGCCAGCCCCGAGCUGUGCCAUGCCAGCCCCGAGCCAUGCUGUGCCAGCCCCGAGCUGUGCCGUGCCAGCCCCGAGCCGUGCCAGCACUGA
rnacentral:lncRNA from 1 species